rnacentral:rRNA from 1 species
AGAGUUUGAUCAUGGCUCAGAAUAAACGCUGGCGGCGUGCCUAACACAUGCAAGUCGAGCGAGAAAGCUCCUUCGGGAGUGAGUAAAGCGGCAGACGGGUGAGUAACGCGUGAGAAUCUACCUUCUAGUGGAGAAUACCUUCGAGAAAUCGAAGUUAAUACUGCAUAAGUCCCUUCGGGGAGAAAGAUGGCCUCUUUGCU